rnacentral:rRNA from 1 species
GAUCCUGGCUCAGGACGAACGCUGGCGGCGUGCCUAAUACAUGCAAGUCGAGCGGACCGAAGGGAGCUUGCUCCUUUAGGGUAGCGGCGGACGGGUGAGUAACACGUGGGCAACCUGCCCUGCAGACUGGGAUAACUUCGGGAAACCGGAGCUAAUACCGGAUAACACCGAAAACCGCAUGGUUUUCGGUUGAAAGGCGGCAUUAGCUGUCACUGCAGGAUGGGCCCGCGGCGCAUUAGCUAGUUGGUGAGGUAACGG